CACUCCCAACAAGAUUGCUUGCUCAAAAAUCGAAGAGGCAAAGCUCUCCGAAUCUCGAAAGCUAGACUCCCAACAGGAUCACUUUCUAAAAAAUCAAAGAGACACUACUCUUCGAAUCUCAAGAGUCAGACUCCCUACAUGAUUACUUUAUCAAAAAUUGAAGAGACACUACUCUUCGAAUCUCGAGAACCAAACUCCCAACAGGAUUACUUUCUCAAAAAUCGAAGAGACACUGCUCUCUGAAUCUCAAGAGUCAAACUCCCAACAGGAUUACUUUCUCAAAAAUCGAAGAGGCACUACUCUCCGAAUCUCGAGAGCCAGACUUCCAACAGGAUUAUGUACUAAAAAAUUGAAGAAGCACCACCCUCCUAAUCUCGGGAGCCAGACUCCCAACAGGAUUACUUUCUAAAAAAUCGAAGAGACACUGCUCUCCGAAUCUCAAGAGUCAGACUUCCAACAUGAUUGCUUUCUCAAAAAUCGAAGAGGCACCGUUCUCUGAAUCUCGAGAGCCAGAUCC
rnacentral:lncRNA from 1 species